GCUAUAUUCUAUUGACCAUUUCUACCGCAUAAAGGAAGCAAACGAUGGAUUAUCUCAAUCAGCCCCGGACGAGGUGUAAAAGGUGGUGGAUUUCGAGAAGAAACUCAUGAGGUCAUCUCAUUAUCUAUUGUUUAAAUUGCAUUCGACGCGACCAAAAUGCGACGGAUAAACUAGGCCUCAGACAGUCCACAGUUGACAGUCAGAUUUGGUUUUUCGAAGAAGGAAGAAUCACUUGAAGACGUUGAGGAAAAUGUUGGGAAAAACUUGCUCAGAAGGAACUACGGCGCCGAAAGAUGGGGAAGGCGAAACACAAACGCUUGCUCGCAGCAAAUAAUAGAACUAAAAGAAUCGUCGGAGUGGAGAGAUGUCGGAGCUGCCUUGGGACAUUUUGCACGCAAAUACAAAACUCAAUUUCGGCGAAAAUAUGCAUGAGUAAAAUAUGCAUGGAUUUGGCCUUUUUUUGGCUGAGAUAUACUGAACACUCUUCUGUUUACCUCCUUGAUUUUCAACUUUUCGGAUUGCGGUUUUUGUGCAUGGGUCAGGUCGUGUCAAGCGCAUGCGGAGUAAAUACAAGUGAUCUGGGGCCCCAUCAUUCGUAUUUUCUCCAUCUUGAACGACAAUAGUCCGGAAAAAAAAUAUCGCUCACAGAGCGCCUAAAACAUAAAAAAUGCAUGAGACAUUGUAUUUCCAGAAGGAGAUAAUAGUCGAGUGUUUUGGUUUUCUUAGGACCAUGAAGAAAAUGAUGAAUAUUUCGUACAAAACGUGCAUGACGACAUUUUGUAUUUGCGUGCGCAAUGCGAAGGCCUUGGACGAGUGGCGUUGGAGAUGU